rnacentral:rRNA from 1 species
GACGAACGCUGGCGGCGUGCUUAACACAUGCAAGUCGAACGAAGAGCGAUGGAAGCUUGCUUCUAUCAAUCUUAGUGGCGAACGGGUGAGUAACGCGUAAUCAACCUGCCCUUCAGAGGGGGACAACAGUUGGAAACGACUGCUAAUACCGCAUACGAUCUAACCUCGGCAUCGAGGAUAGAUGAAAGGUGGCCUCUACAUGUAAGCUAUCACUGAAGGAGGGGAUUGCGUCUGAUUAGCUAGUUGGAGGGGUAACGGCCCACCAAGGCGAUGAUCAGUAGCCGGUCUGAGAGGAUGAACGGCCACAUUGGGACUGAGACACGGCCCAGACUCCUACGGGAGGCAGCAGUGGGGAAUCUUCCGCAAUAGACGAAAGUCUGACGGAGCAACGCCGCGUGAGUGAUGACGGCCCUCGGGUUGUAAAGCUCUGUUAAUCGGGACGAAAGGCCUUCUUGCGAAUAGUUAGAAGGAUUGACGGUACCGGAAUAGAAAGCCACGGCUAACUACGUG